UGAGAAACUAAUAAGUAGGGGCUGGAGAGAUGGCUCAGCAGUUUGGAGCACUGACUGCUCUUCCACAGGUCCUGAGUUCAAAUCCCAGCACCCACAUGGUGGCUCACAACCAUCUGUAACGGGAUUUGAUGCCCUCUUUGAUGUGUCUGAAGACAGCUACAGUGUGCUUAUAUAUAAUAAAUAAAUAAAUCUUUUUUAAAAAAGAGAGAAACUAAUAAUUAGCAUUGUUAUUAUCACUGUUUAAGAUUAAUAUGUAUUAUUACUAACGAAAUGUAUCAUCAUUAUUUUAUCGGGGGCUUGCUUACAGUUUCAGAAGUUCAGCCCUUUAUCAACAUGGCAGGGAAUACCUUGCAAAGCUGUAGCCUGGGCCUGGCAUGGGCUUUUUAAAACCUCAAAGUCCGGGCUGGAGAGAUGGCUCAGCGGUUAAGAGCACCCGACUGCUCUUCCAGAGGUCCUGAGUUCAAUUCCCAGCAACCACAUGGUGGCUCACAACCAUCUGUAAAGAGAUCCGAUGCCCUCUUCUGGUGUAUCUGAAGACAGCUACAGUGUACUUAUAUCUAAUAAAUGAAUAAAUCUUAAAAAAAAAAAAAAAGCAUUAAAAAAAAAAAAAAACCUCAAAGUCCACAAGAACACACUUCAUAAUCACUAAGCAUUUAAAUUAUGAGCCUAUGGGGGCUGUACCACAUACCAUAUCAACAUUGAUAUUUUUUAAAUUAUUUAUUUUAUGUGUAUGAGUACACUAGCUGCUUUCAGAUACACCAGAAGAGAGUGUUGGGUCCCAUUACAGAUGAUUGUGAGCCAUCAUGUGGUUGCUGGGAGUUGAACUCAGGACUUGUGAAAGAGCAGUCAGUGCUCUUAACCACUGAGCCAUCUCUACCCCACCAUUAUUAUUUUUAAAGUGUUUUUUUGGUUGGUUGAUUGGUGAUUGAUUGGUUGCUUGGUUGCUUGGUUGGUUUGGUUUUUCAAGACGUGUUUUCUCUGUGUAGUCCUGACUGUCCUGGAACUUUGUUCUAUAGACGAGGCUGGCCUCAAACUCAAGAGAUCCUUCUACCUCUGCCUCCUGAGUGCUGGGAUUAAAGGUGUGCAAUACCACUACUCAACUAAAGUAUAUUUAGAUUAUUUGUUGGCGUGUACAUGCGUGUGUGUGUGUGUGUGUGUGUGUGUGUUUCUGUGUCUAUGUGUGUGUCUGUGUGUCUGUGUCUGUGUGUGUCUGUGUGUGUGCCUGUGUGUGUGUGUGUGUGUCUGUGUGCAUGUGUCUGUGUGUGUGUGUGUGUGUGUGUGUAUGUCUGUAUGUGUGUGUGUGUGUGUGUGAUGGGUUGGGGGAGGAGCGAAUGUAGCACGUGUGUGGAGAUCAGACGCCAUCUUUCAGGAACUGGCUCUUCCUGUCCACUAUGGUAUUCAAAGCCCCAAGUCAGAUGAUCAUCUGGUCUCUACACUCAGUGCUUUUACCCAUCUCAGAAGGCCAAGUUCUUGUAUUAUUUAUUCAUCUUAUCUUUCUACGUUUUAAAAGUAUAUUCCAGCAUUUUAAAUGUGAUAACUCACCUACAAAUCCACUUUUCUGACACCUAAAGUAAAGUAAUAUAAAUCUUGAAUAUAAUGGGGAAGGGUGGUACUUUGCAAAUAUCAAGUCAAUUCAAUUUCAACAUCUGAAGUCAGGCUCUUCUCUGCAGGAUAGACCUAAGAAGAAUUUCUCCAAUCGGAAGAUAUUAAAAUAGGCUUUCAAGGGGUAAAAAAAAUAACUUGCUGGAUUGCCUUCAUUGCAUCUAAUCUACUUAGUUGUGCAAAUUUUACCCAGAGUUCUCUCACACUCCAGAGAACACACUUCUUCCAUUUAGAACAACUAAACCAUGAGGGUGUGACACAGCCUGGCAUUUAACAACAGGGUAAAAGGAAGAAGAAGAAAGGGGCAUGGUCAUCCAUCAGGAGGCCCAAGCACAGUCUCCCCACUCGAACUCUUCAAUAUAGAAAGGCUUCUUUCGGGGUUGGGGAUUUAGCUCAGUGGUAGAGCGCUUGCCUAGCAAGCGCAAGGCCCUGGGUUCGGUCCCCAGCUCUGGAAAAAAAAAAAAAGGCUUCCUUCUUGCUCUGAGAAACAGACACCUUGCAGACUCGGGCUGCAUGACAAACACUGGCCACACAUGUGAAAGUGAUGUCAACGUGUACACAAGAAAAGAGAAGGCUCGCAUCCAGCUCAGAGAUUCACUCAAGCCAGAUAAACCCAGGUUUGAUACACAAGAAUUAUAUUCACAUCAUUACUGGAAGAACCCUGCAAAAAAAAAAUGGUCCUUUAAUCCUAGAUCAUACAGAAUCUAUCCAGAAGUUCCUACAGAUCCUAGAGAAGACUCAGGAAGCCAAGAAUGUCAUGGUUUGAAUAUGGUUGGCCCAGAGAGUGGCACUAUUAGAAGUGUGGCCUUGUUGGAAGAAGUGUGUCACUGUUGGGAUGGGCUUGGAGACCCUCCUCCUAGCUGCCUGAAGAUGCCCAGUCUGUUCCUGGCUUCCUUCAGAUGAAGAUGUAGAACUCUCAGCUCCUCCUGCAUCAUGCCUGCCUGGACGCUGCCAUGCUCCCCUCCUUGAUGAUACCAGACUGAACCUCUGAACCUGAAAGCCAGCCCCAAGUAAAUGUUGUCCUUUAUAAAACUUGAAUUAGUUAUGGUGUCUGUUCACAGCAAUAAAACCCUAACUAAGACACAAGAAUCAUGGCUGGGGGUGGCUGGAGAGAUGGCUCAGCGGUUAAGAGCACUGACUGUUCUUCCAGAGGUCCUGAGUUCAAUUCCCAGCAACCACAUGGUGGCUCACAACCAUCUGUAACAGAAUCUGAUGCCCUCUUCUGGUGUGUCUGAAGACAGCUACAGUGUACUUAUAUAUAAUAAUUAAAUCUUUAAAAAAAAAAAAAAAGAAUCAUGGCUGGCAAGUUGAAGGGCAGCCAGUCAGUGGCUCUGUAAAUCACAUAGAUCUAAGACAAAGUAACAGACCUCAGAAAGUGUUGUUUGCCUAGGCUCUGCAAAGACUCCUCAGGGCCAGGAUAGGAGAUGUACUACUCACUACUGACCAGCAGGUUGCUGAACAUCAGAAGAAGAAAGGAAAUUGGAACCCAAGAUCUCAGGUUUUUCCACCUGCAAUGCCUCCCUCUAAACGGAGAUACCAUUUUUAAAAUAGGGCAUUUACAUGGGCCAGACUUCUAGCCAUUUCACUGAACUAUGUUCUAAUGGGAACUGACAGGUACAUAGAUGAGGUACACUCCAGAGACCCCUAAGAAGAUAAACAAUACUGAGAUACAAAGAGGAGGGAAGUUACUUCAGAUAAGCUAGUCAGAGACUGUGUUUCUUGGGGUGAAUUUGUCACCCAUUACUUAAAUAAUGACCAAGAGCCUACUGUACCAAGUACCUGAUAGAAAGCAUUCCAAACAAAGGGAACAGCAAGAAUAAAACCUGACAGACCCAGACGAUGGCAACACUCCAGAGGCAGCGGUAGUGAGUUCAAGGCCAGCCUGGUCGCCAUAGAAAGUUCUAGGCCAGCCAGGCCUACAAAGUGAGACCUUCUCUUAGAAAAGAGAGGGAAGGGGUUGGGGAUUUAGCUCAGUAGUAGAGCGCUUGCCUAGGAAGCACAAGGCCCUGGGUUCAGUCCCCAGCUCCAAAAAAAAGAACCAAAAAAAAAAAAAAAAAAAAAAGAAAAGAGUGGGAAAAAAAGAAGCCUUUCCACAGAAAGGAACCUGAAGUGUUCGGGGACAGCCAGCGUCCCUAGAACCUAGCAGUCCUCAGUCCCAGGAACAGAACAUGAAGUCAGAAGGAAAGGCAACAGACGAAAGACUGACUUUUUUUUUUGAGACAGUUUUAUAUAUACCAAACUGGUCUUUACUUUGCCAUGUGGCUAAGGGUGACCUUGGAUUUCUGAUCCUCCCAGCCUUCACCCUUCCGAGCACAGAAUUCACAGAACAGAAAUACAAUCCAUGGGCAUGGACCGCUGAUUCAUAAAGUUUCACUGUAAGAACAGAGGGACGGACGACCGUGGUGCUGCAUGCCUUUAACCCCAGUCCUCAGGACACCGGCAGGCGGGAAGACCCACCUGAAAUCUGGGCCGCAACUUCUCAUGGCCACCUACGUGCAGGACAAGGAAGAAGGAAGCAUUUGUUCUCUGCCUGCUUGCCCUCCCUCUGACUGGCCCAUUCCUUCAGUGACACUGGAGCCUACCUCUUCAGGAUUCUGACAUACACUGAAGACCAGCUAAGACACCCAGCCUUCUGGGCUGAACGACUACUGGAUUCUUGACCUUUCGAUUGGUAGACAGCCAUCGUUGGACUAGCUAGACCACAACCAGACUGGACCUUUACAUUUGAGGCCUUACUGAGUGAGUUCCAGGGGAGCCAGGGAUACACAGAGAAACCACUUCUCAAAGGGGAAAAAAAGUGACUGUCAUUAUGCUUCUAUGGGUCUUGUUUUUCAAGUCCUAGUGAGUAAAACAAAAACUUAGUGCUUAGGGUUGGGGAUUUAGCUCAGUGGUAGAGUGCUUGCCUAGCAAGUACAAGGCCCUGGGUUCAGUCCCCAGCUCCCAAAAAAAGAAAAAAAAAUGACUUUCAUCCUACAAAAACUUAGUGCUUAUAUGUUAAAGAUAGAAACAUUUAGCUCCAGUAAGUUAAGGUCGUUUAGAUAUGGCCUGGCCAAGUGACCGUAAAUGGUUACAAGCCCAGUCAAUAAUCGUGAGAUCUUUUUAUAUUCUAAAAUAGUGACAAUGACCACACCAACCACUGAUUUCAGUGGAACAGAAAUCCUUUUUUUUUCAAAAUUAAGGUUUUCAUGGGGGUGGAGAGAAGGUUCAGUGUGUAAGGAGAGCACCAGCUGCUUUUCCAGAGGACAAGAGUUUAGUCCUAGCACCCGCACUAUGACUUACAACUCCAGUUCCAUAGGAUCUGAUGCCCCCUUCUGGCCUCCUUGGUUACCACAUGAACCUGAGGCACAGGUCUACAUGAAGGCAAACCACUGCAUAAAAGCAUACGAAUAAAGUAAAAUGGGCUGGAGAGAUGGCUUAAGAGCACUGGCUGUUCUUCCAGAGGUCCUGAGUUCAAUUCCCAGCAACACAUGGUGGCUCACAACCAUCGGUAAUGGGAUCAGAAUGCCCUUUUCUGGUGUUUCUGAAUACAGAUACAGUGUACCCACAUACAUAAAAUAAGUAAAUAAAUCUUUAAAUAAAAUAAAGCCAAA